CAGCACUCGAUACUAACCAAGCUAUCUAUAUCCUAGUCUGUGUCAAAGGCUUGUGAUAUGUUGUGAUAGCUGGGUUGAAGAAGUGCAAUAUUAAAAGCCAUGAGGUUUUUAAGCCCAGUGUGUAAAGACACACUCUGAGUUAUAACUCAUAGGCACAACU
rnacentral:snoRNA from 1 species